UAUUGUAUUGUUCCGGCCGUGUGUGGCCGAGGUAUAGAUAUAUGUAUUCUGGAUUCAUAUUGUCAUCCGUACAGGGGAAAUGCUGCCGAAAUUUCUUCGGACAGGGACUACCUGGGGUGUGACAGAAUCUCUACGUGGAAGAGGAGGAAAAUAAAAUAAACAACUUUCAACUUGCUUCCUUUAUUGAACAAAGAAAGAGAAAGAGAAGAAAUGAACACAAAGGCGGUCCCAGCGCUCAGCUCCCAUGGACCUCGAUGAGCAGAUCGAGCAGCUCAUGCAGUGCAGACCAUUGUCAGAACAGGAGUUAUAAAGAAGGAGAGCAAGGCAGAAGAGAAACCAGUGAUUUGACUGAGCAAGAACAUAGGAUACAAUGGAGCCAUCAUCAUUGAAGGCACCACUACACAGUGUGACUGAGUUCGGUCUUGUAUCUUCCAGCAGCGAUGUACAACUUGAAUUAGUUCAGACCUACUGUCAAAAAAUCAAUCACAUCCUUGAGAAUUUUAAACCACUAUGUAAUGAACUUGUUGCUUUGGAGGUAUCUUUGGAUGUGCAACUAGUCAAAGCGUUGGCUGAACUGAUGCUGCAAUUGAUGAAGCAAGGGGACUUGUCCUGAGUUGGCAUCUGAUAACGAGUAAAAUUUACUUUGUAAGUAGAUGAACUUGUUUAUUAUACCUAGUUGUUGGAAAAAGUUGAAUGGAAACGCGAC